AGUGAACGCUGGCGGUAGGCCUAACACAUGCAAGUCGAACGGCAGCACAGUAAGAGCUUGCUCUUACGGUUGGCGAGUGGCGGACGGGUGAGGAAUACAUCGGCAUCUACUUUUUCGUGGGGGAUAACGUAGGGAAACUUACGCUAAUACCGCAUACGACCUACGGGUGAAAGCAGGGGAUCUUCGGACCUUUCGCGAUUGAAUGAGCCGAUGUCGGAUUAGCUAGUUGGCGGGGUAAAGGCCCACCAAGGCGACGAUCCGUAGCUGGUCUGAGAGGAUGAUCAGCCACACUGGAACUGAGACACGGUCCAGACUCCUACGGGAGGCAGCAGUGGGGAAUAUUGGACAAUGGGCGAAAGCCUGAUCCAGCCAUACCGCGUGGGUGAAGAAGGCCUUCGGGUUGUAAAGCCCUUUUGUUGGGAAAGAAAAGCAGCAGAUUAAUCCCCCGCUGUUCUGACGGUACCCAAAGAAUAAGCACCGGCUAACUUCGUG
rnacentral:rRNA from 1 species